rnacentral:rRNA from 1 species
AGGGUUCGAUUAUGGCUCAGGACGAACGCUGGCGGCGCGCCUAACACAUGCAAGUCGAACGAGCGAGAGGAGGUUUACUUUCUCAAGCGAGUGGCGAACGGGUGAGUAACGCGUGGGUAACCUGCCUCAUACAGGGGGAUAACAGUUGGAAACGACUGCUAAUACCGCAUAAGCGCACAGGAUCGCAUGAUCCGGUGUGAAAAACUCCGGUGGUAUGGGAUGGACCCGCGUCUGAUUAGCCAGUUGGCAGGGUAACGGCCUACCAAAGCGACGAUCAGUAGCCGACCUGAGAGGGUGACCGGCCACAUUGGGACUGAGACACGGCCCAA